CGCAGACCUCUGAGGAACAGAGAAACUGUUCCAUUUUCAAAAAGAAAGAAAAAGAAGAGAACGAUUUCAUAUGGUUCCUGAGUUAUGCUGUGGUUUGGAAGUCACGUCCAGCCAAGAGCCCUUUCCAGGAGUGGCUUGGAUUCACUUUCUGCUCGAGGGAGGUCGCACAGCACAGCAUCCAAGACGUUACCACGGGCUCAAAAUCCAUGCUGCAGAGCCUACAGGAGAGCUUUGCACCACUUGAUAAAGGGCUUCUGCAAAGCCAGCUUGAAAAAAUCCCUCAGUCUGAAGAGUUCUGUGAGCUGGUGGAAGACGUCAAAAAGAAGACGUGCCUCUCUGAUAUCAUCACUUACAGAGGAAUUUUGUUUCAGCUUCCACUUUGCUCACCUGUGGAUGACAGCCCUGAGCACACAGGAUCGCGAAAUGAAGAGGUUGCAGCUCCUCUAUCAUGAACUUACUGAUGUAGUGAGAAAGAAGAGAAGAACAUUUGCUGGAUGAGUUGGAGGAGGAAAGUGAAGAUCUCUGCUAGGGGGACAUGAAGCUGAGUGUGUCUCCACCCAGAGCCUUCCCUUCAAGCGUUCCUUUAAAUUACAUCUACAGUUCAAAUAGUUCAGAGGAGAUCCUCUUUCCCUGGGCUGCUCUGAGUCAGAGGUUGCUGAGCUGUGCUACGGCUGCAGAUCGUAAUGGCUCUGAGCAAAGCAGCUCCUUUUGUGCCGGAUGGCAGCCGGUGUCCUCGAGGAACC
ensembl:lncRNA